CCUACGGGAGGCAGCAGUGGGGAAUAUUGGACAAUGGGGGGAACCCUGAUCCAGCCAUGCCGCGUGUGUGAAGAAGGCCCUCGGGUUGUAAAGCACUUUCAGUGAGGAAGAACGCCUGGUGGUUAAUACCCAUCAGGAAAGACAUCACUCACAGAAGAAGCACCGGCUAACUCCGUGCCAGCAGCCGCGGUAAUACGGAGGGUGCGAGCGUUAAUCGGAAUUACUGGGCGUAAAGCGCGCGUAGGUGGCUUGAUAAGCCGGUUGUGAAAGCCCCGGGCUCAACCUGGGAACGGCAUCCGGAACUGUCAAGCUAGAGUGCAGGAGAGGAAGGUAGGAUUCCCGGUGUAGCGGUGAAAUGCGUAGAGAUCGGGAGGAAUACCAGUGGCGAAGGCGGCCUUCUGGACUGACACUGACACUGAGGUGCGAAAGCGUGGGUAGCAAACAGGAUUAGAUACCCGAGUAGUC
rnacentral:rRNA from 1 species